rnacentral:rRNA from 1 species
CCAAUAGCGUAUAUUAAAGUUGUUGCAGUUAAAAAGCUCGUAGUUGAAUUUCGGGAUCAGUAUGUCGGUCGUGCCUUCGGUAUGUACUGGUGUCACUGGUUCCUCCCUUCUGACGAACCAUUAUGCCAUUUAUUUGGUGUGGUGGGGAAUCAGGACUGUUACUUUGAAAAAAUUAGAGUGUUUAAAGCAGGCUCGCGCUUGAAUACAUUAGCAUGGAAUAAUGAAAUAGGACGUUUGAUUCUAUUUUGUUGGUUUCUAGGAUCGACGUAAUGAUUAAUAGGGAUAGUUGGGGGCAUUAGUAUUCAAUUGUCAGAGGUGAAAUUCUUGGAUUUAUUGAAGACUAACUACUGCGAAAGCAUUUGCCAAGGAUGUUCUCAUUAAUCAAGAACGAAAGUUAGGGGAUCGAAGACGAUCAGAUACCGUCGUAGUCUUAACCAUAAACUAUGCCGACUAGGGAUCGGAUGAUGUUGAUUUUUUAAUGACUCAUUCGGCGCCUUACG